AUAACGUUAGGAAAAUCUGAAGGUUAAUUUAAGCGGACCUAAUUAACUUGGGGCAUUGAGAAUUCAUGGGUUAUUGAAAAGCAAUUGGAAAUCGUUUUGAAUACAAGUCUAACAUGUGUGGAGAUGAACCCCUUAGCUAGCUUUCUAUCCAUUCAAUUCAAUCAAAUUCGUUUUAAAAUCUGUUUUGAUUUACAAGUUUAUGUUUUGUUUUCAACUUCGUAAAAACCAAAUCCCCCUUUGGUUUCAAGUGUCAAAUUAGUUAGAGA
rnacentral:lncRNA from 1 species